rnacentral:hammerhead_ribozyme from 1 species
AUCUAGCUGAUGAGUCCCAAAUAGGACAAAUUGCGCGUCGUAGAU